CCGCCCCCACCUGCGCCUAGAGCCGGGGCGGGAGCCGCUGGUGGGCGCUGGCGAUCCCGGCACGCGGGGCGAUGGGGUUCAGGCAGCGGGGUCUUGGGGCUGAGGAAAGGGUCGAGGUGGACCUGGAGGCCAUGGAGUUGCUUUCCCAGACGCUGCCUCAGGUUCUCCUUUGAAGAAAGUGGGGUCCUCGACGCAUAGGGUGGGGAGCUUCUCGGUAAAGACAGAGACGGGCUGCGCCACCCGGGUGCCGGGAACGGUGCGUGGCCAGGGUGGGCUUGACUCAGACUAUUGGGCCGACGAGAGGUGGAAGAAGAGACUAAGGCUGCAGACUGGAAGUAGCUUGUCCA
rnacentral:lncRNA from 10 species